GUGAAUGCUAGCAAGAUACAUAACACAUGAGGAGUUGAACGGAAUUUUACUUAAAUUCAGUAGCGAACGGGUGCGUAAUACAUUGGUAAUUUACCUAAUAGUUUGAAAUAUAAAAAUCGAGGGGUAUUUGAAAUUUCAAAUAAUUUUUAAAGAUUUGAAUCGCUAUUAGAUAAGCUAUUGUAGGAUUAGAAAUAUAUAAAUUGUCUAUUUAUAUAUAGAUAGUUGGUAGGGUAAUGGCUUACCAAAUCAACAAUCCUUAGCUGCGACGGGAGUUGCUACAGCCACAUUAGGACUGAGACACGGCCUAAAUCCCUGUGGGGAGCACCAGUGUGGAAUAUUGAGCAAUGCACGAAAGUGUGACUCAAUAAUUUUGCAACAAUGAAGAAGAUAUAGUUGUAAAAUUGUUUCUAUAGUUAUGAUAAUGACGCAAACUAUAAAAGAAGUGCCGGUUAAUAUUCAU
rnacentral:rRNA from 1 species